AUUUGUUGUUGAGUCAAAGUGCGCGGAUCGCUUAGAAGAGAGGAAGAGGAACUCCUGUAAGCGUGUCGCUAAAAGUUAAUAAGUGUCGUUAAGUGAACUCGGUGUUUCAGUUAGUUGUUAUUGCAAACACCUUUUUGCAUAUUACUUAAAAAGGUGGCAUUUAUAGCAUUUCCAAAAGGUGUCAAAAAGCUGUCGAGCUUAUCAAAGUUAAUUAUUAAAUAAGUGCAUCAUUGUUGAGCCAAACCGCAACCGAAGAAGAUGGGCAAAUUCGAGUACUCGCUGGGCCUCAAUGAGUUCAAGUCAAAGGAGCUGCGACUGUGGCAGGCGCUCAUUGGCGAAUUCGUUGGCAAUCUGAUACUGAACUUCUUUGCCUGCGGUGCCUGCACACAGCCCGAGGAUGGCACCUUCAAGGCUCUGGCCUUUGGCCUGGGUGUCUUCAUGGCCAUCACAAUUGUUGGCCAUCUGAGUGGCGGUCACGUGAAUCCAGCUGUUACCGUUGCCAUGUUGGUAGCAGGUCGGAUCAGCGUUCUCCGCGCCGUCUUCUACAUCAUCUUCCAGUGCCUGGGCGCCAUUGCAGGCACUGCAGCAGUCAAGAUUUUACUCGAUGUGGACUAUCACAAUGGUUUGGGUCACACUAGCCUGGCUCAGAACAUCACCGAGCUGCAGGGUUUGGGUAUUGAAUUCUUCCUCGGACUCGUCCUGGUGCUGACCGUGUUUGGUGCCUGUGAUGCCAACAAACCGGAUUCCCGCUACACAGCUCCGUUGGCCAUUGGCAUGGCUGUUACUCUGGGUCACUUGGGCACCAUUCGUUAUACGGGCGCCAGCAUGAACCCAGCUCGCACAGUGGGCACUGCCUUUGCUACCGAUAACUGGAGUGCUCAUUGGGUCUAUUGGGCUGGUCCAGUGCUGGGCGGUGUGGCGGCUGCUCUGCUCUACACUCAGGUGCUGGAGGCCAAAGAGUUGCCCAAGAACAACGAAGCAGCUGAAAAAUAUCGCACACAUGCCGACGAACGUGAGGUGAGAGCUUUUGCGGCUUGGCAUGAUAAGAGUUUCUACUGAAACCCAACACAUACACAUUACGCCCACACCCACACACACACAGAUACUCAGAAAACAAUGAUUCUACGCAAGUUGGAAGGAACUCGCGACUACGCUUAAGGAUCUAAUAUCCACCUCUACCUGUCAUCACUUCAAAUGCUCAUUAACCUGCAUUAAAUGGAAUACAAGAUCGAGUAGAAAUGCAUUAAGCUCACAUUCUCGACUCCAUUUCGUUUUCGUCUUGAAUAAUUCUGCGUAUACGUGUUAAUUAUUGUUUGUACGAGUAUUUAUGUAUUUAUUUAUGCGAGUUCAUUGUUUAAACUAAUACCUGUUUAUAUUUAAGCUGUGCUUAACACAACCAACAACAAAUUAUUUAUGUAUAUUUACAUCAUGAGUUCAUAAUAAUAAAAAAAUCAAAACUCA